UGGCUGCACCCACAGCAUAUGGAGUUUCCCAGGCUAGGGGUCGAAUCAGAGCUGUAGAUGCUGGCCUAUACCACAGCCACAGCAACGCCAGAUCCAAGCCACAUCUGCAACCUACACUACAGCUCACAGCAAUGCCAGAUCCUUAACCCACUGAGCAAGGCCAGGGACCGAACCUGCAACCUCAUGGUUCCUAGUCACAUUCGUUAACCACUGAGCCACGAUGGGAACUCCCCACUAAAUUUCUUGUCCUGGGCAGUCCCACCCCCAUUUGUCCUCUGUCCCUGCUCCUUUUCUUCUCUUUUCCAUACCUUCUUCUUUCCCCAUUUCUUUUUCCCAAGGAGGAUGUCUUCUUUUUCUCCAGAAGUUUCUACUAUGUUUAAGAGGUGUCAGGAUGAAUGGAUCCCAUUCCUCAUUUGUUCCUACAUCUCUCUUGCUUCCAGAUGAAAGCUACUUUCUUCCAAGGUGAAGAAGUAAGUGAGACAAGGGAUGGGAAGAGUCUGAAGGGCUAACACGAAGGGCUUGAUUCCCCUGAACCAGACCCCUGUGUGCUAAGUUCUCUGAGCUGGGGUGGAGCUGGAAGAGAGGACAGUCAAAAUGUUGCCCUUCUCACCUUUGGGCCCAGAAGUGUGUAGGAAACUGGAUUCUUCAGAGCCCACUGGAUGAGUCUUGUGGUUCGAAGCCUAGAGCCCACCAGUCCCUACUUCUCAGGUGACCACUGACCCAUUCUCCAUCUCUGAGUCCUGGCAUCUCCAAGAUGGGACUACUGCUAAUUCCUACCUUGCAGACCUAGGGACAGGAUCAGGUGCAAUAUUGUGCCCAGAAACCCCCCCAUAAACUAUAAUAAAAGGUGGUUAUUAAUAUCCUAUCAAUAGCAUAGUUACUUAGACCAUGAUGGUUUCCAAAGGGAGAGCAUGAGCAAGGUAGAAUAGACUCGGAAUGGAUUAAAAAAAUCCUAAAUCUUGCACACUAAGAUCAUAUCAAUGCCAUACAUUAAAAAACUUAGGGUUUUGUGUUUUGUGGGUUUUUUUGUUUGUUUGUUUGUUUGGUUUUUUUUUUUUUUUAGGGUUGCAUCUGUGGCAUAUGGAGGUUCUCAGCCUCAGGGUUGAAUCGGAGCUGUAGUUGCUGGCCUACACCACAGCCACAGCAAUGCCAGAUCUGAGCUGAGUCUGUGACCACCACAAGCUCAUGGCAACGCCGGAUCCUUAACCCACUGAGUGAGGCCAGGGAUCAAACCCUUAUCCUCAUGUAUACUACUCAGAUUCGUUUCCCUCUGAACCACAAUGGGAACUCCAAAAAAAACACUUAGUUUUUAUUGGAGAUCAUUUUAAAUCCAUUUCUACUAAAAUGAGGUGACAUUAAGAGUCAGGGAAGAUGCAUCUCCCCUCCUCUUUGCCUACUUCGAGAGGGGAGGGCUCCCUCCUCCCUGCCAUCCCCACCUAGGCCAGGGCUGUUUAGGUAAAGUCCCUCCCCCACCUCCAGAACAGAUGCUAAGUGAGGACAAGGCAAGCCUCUGGUUACAUUUUUAAAAUAGUGUUGAGAGAGGGAGAGAAGCAGCCCCACCUGGCAGGAAGGGCAGGUUUUUCUGCCUCCCUCUCUGCCUGAGGUCUCAGCUGAGCCACACCCUGUCACCUUGUCACUCCAGAGGAGCUAUGGGCCCAGCUGCGCAUAUUAGAGGGCACUACACUGGCCCCGCAUGGCUUUUCCAUGAGAAUCUGUCCUUCCCACAGACUUUCCCUUUUCCUCAGGGACUUCUCCCCACAUAGAAAGAAACCCCUUCUCCUAGUUCAGUUCCUGUACCCAGGCCCUGGGUGGCCACAGUCACUUAGCCAGUUAUCAGCCAGAGGCAGGCAGUGCUGAGAGGAUGGCUCCGGAGGGACAAUGGACAGUGGAUCCAGGUUCUGGGCCUGGGUCACUUGAACAAGGCUGAGAUGUGGGGGCUUGGCACUCCCAGUGGGACGGCUUAGCUGUGCCGGCAUGCCCAAAGUCCCUUUCCUGAUCUUCUGUGCCCUAGAGGGAGUCCCAGGCCCUGGUAGGGAAAGCGGUCAGGGCCUCGGGUUUCCUCACAGUGGCAGCUGAAUCCAUGGUACCACCUUCUUCCACCCCCGCCCCCGACCCUGCCUCACCGUCAGCCCUGGUCAGCCGCUUCCUGGGGGCCAGCAUUGCCCCUCCACUGGGCAGUGGCUAUGUCUUGCUCUUGAAUUAUUCUCAGGUUUGCACAUCUUCAGCCUCCCUUGCUGGACCUCUCAGCCAGGCCCUUCCUAAUUAAUCUUUGCUGUCUCAUUGAUUAUUUGUCUUUUGAUGGAUUGAAUGACCAACCAGUCCCAAGAGAUCUGAGCUUAUCCUCAACCAUCUCUGGCCCAAGGGGCUCCCAGGAUAUCUGGAGUCCCAGCCUUCAUGAAAAGAAUGAUGGAGACAUACAUCAAAUGCUUCAGGGCCAUAAGUCUGAGCACUGGGGCACACGAGACCUUGGAAGCAUGCCUACCUGGGCAGACUCCCAGCUUCUCGACUCACCUGAUGGCCUUGGACAAAUCCAUUACCUUCUCUGAAUAUCAGCUUCCUCAUCUGUGAAAUGGGGAUGACAAUACCCACUUGGAGGGAUGCUUGAGAGUUAAGUGAACUUGAAGGCACAUACAGUGCACAGAAACCACCUAAAUAUCACCCAAAGUGUAUGUGCAGAUGGAGUCUGGCUUCUUGCAUGUGUUUUGGUUUUGACUUUGGGCACCUUUUUUUUUUUUUUUUUCAAUGCCCUUCCGUUGGGAUUGGGCCUGCAGGGCUAGGGCUGGAGGAGCACAAAGACCUUUCUCCUGUGUCACAGGCUCUUUCCCAACCCACCGACAACAGGAGUAGUGCCCUCAGCUGCAGUGGCAACAACACAGCUCACACUCUGACAUUUCCCCAGGGGUUUCUGUUGAUCCUCUUUCCCCCUGUGAGGAAGCCAGGACCAGAUUCUUAUCCCUCUCCUCCUUAAGGGGAGAUGGCCUUGGAGGAGAAAUGAAGCAACUCAGCAGUGGGGCAGCUGGAAGCUGGCCUUCAGUCCUAGCAGUUGUUUUUGCUCCCCAGCGGGGAGGGUCACUCACGCAGAGGGGCCCCCGCGCUGACGGGUGACUCCCCAUUAAAAGCUGUCUGAUUAGGUCAUGGGCUGGGAAGGGAGGGAACGGAUCUGGCUGGCACAAGGGGCUACUCAGUUGAGUCUGGCCUCUUGAACCAAAGUAACCGACCAGCUCUUGUGCCAGUGACGUCUCAGAAGCCACAGUGUUCAUGGAGGAAACGAACUCAAGUUAUUAUUACACCCAUUCCACCUAAUUGACUGAAUGUACUGAGUGUCUCAAAUACCGAGGGGACAAGAAGAUACCGGAG
rnacentral:lncRNA from 1 species